rnacentral:rRNA from 1 species
AGUGGGGGAUAACGUAGCGAAAGUUACGCUAAUACCGCAUAUGCCCUGAGGGGGAAAGGRGGGGAUCGCAAGACCUUUCGCUUUCGGAGUGGCCGAUAUCGGAUUAGCUAGUAGGUGAGGUAAAGGCUCACCUAGGCGACGAUCCGUAGCGGGUCUGAGAGGAUGAUCCGCCACACUGGGACUGAGACACGGCCCAGACUCCUACGGGAGGCAGCAGUGGGGAAUUUUGGACAAUGGGCGCAAGCCUGAUCCAGCCAUGCCGCGUGAGUGAAGAAGGCCUUCGGGUUGUAAAGCUCUUUCAGACGGAAAGAAAUCGCGCUCAUUAAUACUGAGCGUGGAUGACGGUACCGUAAGAAGAAGCACCGGCUAACUACGUGCCAGCAGCCGCGGUAAUACGUAGGGUGCGAGCGUUAAUCGGAAUUACUGGGCGUAAAGCGUGCGCAGGCGGCUUUUUAAGCCAGAUGUGAAAUCCCCGGGCUUAACCUGGGAACUGCAUUUGGAACUGGAAGGCUAGAGUGUAGCAGAGGGGGGUAGAAUUCCA